rnacentral:rRNA from 1 species
UACGUAGGGGGCAAGCGUUGUCCGGAUUCAUUGGGCGUAAAGAGCGUGUAGGCGGCCAGGUAGGUCGGUUGUGAAAACUGGAGGCUCAACCUUCAGAGGUCGACCGAAACCAUCUGGCUAGAGUCCGGGAGAGGAGAGUGGAAUUCCUGGUGUAGCGGUGAAAUGCGUAGAUAUCUGGAGGAACACCGGUGGCGAAGGCGGCAUCCUGGACCGGUAUUGACGCUGAGGCGCGAAAGCUAGGGGAGCAAACGGG